rnacentral:tRNA from 4 species
GCGCACGUGGCGGAAUUGGUAGACGUGCAGGUCUCAGAAGCCUGUGCCUUCGGGCGUGGGAGUUCGACUCUCCCCGUGCGCA